rnacentral:rRNA from 1 species
GGGCCCGCACAAGCGGUGGAGCAUGUGGUUUAAUUCGAUGAUACGCGAGGAACCUUACCAGGGCUUAAAUGUAGUAUGACCGGUCUGGAAACAGACCUUCUCUUCGGAGCAGAUUACAAGGUGCUGCAUGGUUGUCGUCAGCUCGUGCCGUGAGGUGUUAGGUUAAGUCCUGCAACGAGCGCAACCCCUAUUCUUAGUUGCCAGCGGUUCGGCCGGGGACUCUAAGAAGACUGCCAGCGCAAGCUGAGAGGAAGGUGGGGAUGACGUCAAAUCAUCACGGCCCUUACGUCCUGGGCUACACACGUGCUACAAUGGUAUCUACAACAGGAAGCAAGACGGCGACGUUUAGCAAAUCCUUAAAAGAUACCUCAGUUCGGAUUGCACUCUGCAACUCGAGUGCAUGAAGCUGGAAUUACUAGUAAUCG